rnacentral:misc_RNA from 1 species
UUGAUUUAUUUAAUAAUCACUCAGAGAUUCAAUAAAAACAGAGUUUGGUAUGUCCACCGGCGGGCGGGAGGCGUCCCGAUAUACCGAGUUGGCAAACGGUCCAGGCCCCUCGCUUACGCCGAGGCAACAAUAUGAUAAGUUCACAUGGGUUUGGGAGUUUUUUAAGACUCUAUAAUGAUCCCUCCGCUGGUUCACCAACGGAGA